rnacentral:rRNA from 1 species
CUACCAGACUCCUACGGGAGGCAGCAGUGGGGGAUAUUGCACAAUGGGGGGAACCCUGAUGCAGCGACGCCGCGUGGGUGAAGGAGUAUUUCGGUAUGUAAAGCCCUAUCGGCAGGGAAGAAGAAAGACGGUACCUGACUAAGAAGCCCCGGCUAACUACGUGCCAGCAGCCGCGGUAAUACGUAGGGGGCGAGCGUUAUCCGGAUUCACUGGGUGUAAAGGGAGCGUAGACGGCCAAGCAAGCCAGGGGUGAAAGCCCGGGGCCCAACCCCGGGACUGCCCUUGGAACUGCAUGGCUGGAGUGCAGGAGAGGUAAGUGGAAUUCCUAGUGUAGCGGUGAAAUGCGUAGAUAUUAGGAGGAACACCAGUGGCGAAGGCGGCUUACUGGACUGUAACUGACGUUGAGGCUCGAAAGCGUGGGGAGCAAACAGGAUUAGAUACCCCUGUAU